CAUGCAGGCGGUUUCUUAAGUCGGAUGUUAAAGACCACCGCUCACCGGUGGAAGUGCGUUCGAUACUGAGAGACUGGAGUCCAUCAGAGGCAAGCGGAAUUCCGGGUGUAGCGGUGAAAUGCGUAGAUAUCCGGAGGAACACCAGUGGCGAAGGCGGCUUCCUGGCCGGAUACUGACGCUCAAGUGCGAAAGCUGGGGGAGCAAACA
rnacentral:rRNA from 1 species